rnacentral:lncRNA from 1 species
CCCAAAUCGCCUAUUAGUCAUGUUUCUAGGAAAGAGGCCCUCCAUGAGAUAAAUUGCCUGUUGAUCUUAAGACUGGGAUGUUUCCUAUAUCUCAGCAAGAAGUUAAGUGUCAAUCAAUAAAAGUAGGUGAUGAUCAGACAUGUUUUUGAUUUUAAAGCUUGGACAAGUUCUUUGUUUUGUGUUUGCAUUUUUUUUUUUUUUUUUUUUUUUUGAUUUCGACUUUUUUUUUUUUUUUAAAGUUGUGGAAACUUUUUUUUUUUUUUUUUUUUUUUUUUUUUUUUUUUUUUUUUUUUUUGCUUUGUCAUUUUAUCUUACACAGCUGGUUUGUGACAGAUUCAGAAGUCAGCACUCAAGAGAAGGUCAGAACAACGGCCUCCGACCUACCGUGGAUCAAGACAACAGUGUCAGGGGCUCUGUCCUCCCCAGCAACCUGGUACAAGAUGCUUCCCCAGAAGACAGAUGGAAACCUGCCUACGGACAGGGCCCUCCAGCUCAGCUAGCCCACCCGGCACAGCGUCAAGAUGGAGACUGCCUCUAA